GAAAGCGUUCGCAUCUGUCUCUGUUUCUCUCCUUCUUUCCCGUCCCGUAGGCUUCAUCUUGCCGUUGGUAUGCUUGUCUCUUCACCGCCAGCUAGUGUCCGUCAAUUUCCUUUGCUGUUCUUCCAUCUCUGUCCAGUAAAGUAGCUGAAGUUCUUCGUUUAUGCUCUGUUGCGUGGCUGCCGAAGCUUUGUUUCCUUCUCUUGGGGCAGCCAAGCUGAAGCUCUUCUUCUUUUUUGUGUGGUCCGUGAAGCAUGGUGUUGCAUCUAUUACUGUGCUUUGGUUAAGACCAACGCACGUGGAAUGGAGGGAUGGAUAUUCGUGAGCAUUAUACUCACGCUUGUUUCGUGAUUGAUACCACACUUGUUUCGUAGCUUUCAACCGCACUAGACUAGUUACUUACCCUUAUAGACUGUGUGUCCAUACUUGUUUGUUAUUUACUCUUGUGGAUUAUAUAUCCACACUUGUUAUCUGUUCUGAUAAAGUCCUCCUAAAGAGAUGUGUGUUUUUUCUACUAUUUGAUAUAAGCUUAGGAGAUAUAAA